rnacentral:ribozyme from 1 species
CUGCAAGAAAAAAAAAAAAAAAAAAAAAAAAAAAAAAAA